rnacentral:rRNA from 1 species
AUAGAGGGUGAAAACCCCGUACACGACUGACGAUUGAAGCCUAGUGGCAUCCUGAGUAGCGCGGGGCACGAGAAAUCUUGCGUGAAUUAGCGGGGCCCAUCCCGUAAGGCUAAAUACUCCCGAGAGACCGAUAGCGAACCAGUACCGUGAGGGAAAGGUGAAAAGAACCCCGGGAGGGGAGUGAAAUAGAACCUGAAACCCUGUGCUUACAAGCUGUGGGAGCACUUUAUAUGUGUGACCGCGUACUUUUUGUAGAACGGGCCAACGAGUUACGACAGUAAGCAAGGUUAAGUACUUAAGGUAUGGAGCCGUAGUGAAAGCGAGUCUUAAAUGGGCGUUAAGUUUUCUGUCGUAGACCCGAAACCGGGCGACCUACCCAUGAGCAGGAUGAAGCGAAAGUAAAAUUUCGUGGAGGUCCGAACCCACGAGCGUUGAAAAGCUCGGGGAUGACUUGUGGGUAGCGGUGAAAUUCCAAUCGAGCCCGGAGAUAGCUGGUUCUCCCCGAAAUAGCUUUAGGGCUAGCCUCAAGGUUGAGAAAUACGGAGGUAGAGCACUGAAUAUCCUAGGGGGCAUUGCGCUUACCGAAGAUUAUCAAACUCCGAAUGCCGUUAUUUUAUACUUGGGAGUCAGACUGUGGGUAAUAAGAUUCAUAGUCGAGAGGGCAACAGCCCAGAUCGUCAGCUAAGGUCCCUAAAUGUAAGUUAAGUGGUAAAGGAUGUGGGAUUGCAUAGACAACCAGGAUGUUGGCUUAGAAGCAGCCACUCAUUUAAAGAGUGCGUAAUAGCUCACUGGUCGAGUGAUCCUGCGCCGAAGAUUACCGGGGCUAAAACUUACUACCGAAGCUACGAUAUCAUUUAUGAUAGGUAGGGGAGCUUCCUAUGCAGGCUGAAGCAUGACCGUAAGGACAUGUGGACAGUAUAGGAGUGAGAAUGUUGGCAUGAGUAGCGAGACGUGGGUGAGAAUCCCACGGGCCGUAAACCCAAGGUUUCCAGGGGAAGGUUCGUCCGCCCUGGGUUAGUCGGGACCUAAGCCGAGGCCGAAAGGCGUAGGUGAUGGACAACAGGUUGAGAUUCCUGUACCACCAAUAAUCGCUUGAGAGAAGGAAUGACACAGUAGGAUAAGCUAACCACACUGUUGGUUAUGUGUGGCUAAGUACUGAGGCAGUCAAGGUAGGCAAAUCCGCCUUGAUAAUGCUGGGGUACGAUGGGGAGCGAAAUUAAGUAGCGAAGUAGCUGAUUUCACACUGUCGAGAAAAGUUUCUAUCGAGAUUAAAGGUGCCCGUACCGCAAACCGACACAGGUGGGUGAGGAGAGUAUCCUAAGGCCAGCGAGAGAACUGUUGUUAAGGAACUCGGCAAAAUGACCCCGUAACUUAGGGAGAAGGGGUGCCACGUUAGGGUUAACGCCCGAGGUGGCCGCAGAGAAUAGGCCCAAGCGACUGUUUACCAAAAACACAGGUUUCUGCUAAGUCGCAAGACGAUGUAUAGGAGCUGACGCCUGCCCGGUGCUGGAAGGUUAAGGGGAUCUGUUAGGAUUUAUCCGAAGCAGUGAACUUAAGCCCCAGUAAACGGCGGCCGUAACUAUAA